UACGUAGGGUGCGAGCGUUGUCCGGAUUUAUUGGGCGUAAAGAGCUCGUAGGCGGUUUGUCGCGUCGGCCGUGAAAUCUCCACGCUUAACGUGGAGCGUGCGGUCGAUACGGGCAGACUUGAGUUCGGUAGGGGAGAGUGGAAUUCCUGGUGUAGCGGUGAAAUGCGCAGAGUAUCAGGAAGAACACCCGUGGCUAAGGCGGCUCUCUAGUACGGUACUGACGCUGAGACGCGAAAGCGUGGGGAGCGAACAGG
rnacentral:rRNA from 1 species